rnacentral:rRNA from 1 species
UACAGAGGGUGCUAGCGUUAAUCGGAAUUACUGGGCGUAAAGGGUGUGUAGGUGGUUCAAGUAAGUCAGAUGUAAAAACCCCGGGCUUAACCUGGGAAUGUCGUUUGAUACUGCUUAGCUAGAGUACUAUAGAGGACAGUGGAAUUUCCAGUGUAGCGGUGAAAUGCGUAGAUAUUGGAAGGAACACCAGUGGCGAAGGCGACUGUCUGGAUAGAAACUGACACUGAGACACGAAAGCAUGGGUAGCAAAUAGG